GACGAACGCUGGCGGCGUGCCUAAUACAUGCAAGUCGAACGAGAGCGACCGGUGCUUGCACUGGUCAUCUAGUGGCGAACGGGUGAGUAACACGUGGGUAACCUGCCCAUCAGAGGGGGAUAACAUCCGGAAACGGAUGCUAAAACCGCAUAGGUCUUCGAACCGCAUGGUUUGAAGAGGAAAAGAGGCGCAAGCUUCUGCUGAUGGAUGGACCCGCGGUGCAUUAGCUAGUUGGUGAGGUAACGGCUCACCAAGGCCGUGAUGCAUAGCCGACCUGAGAGGGUGAUCGGCCACAUUGGGACUGAGACACGGCCCAAACUCCUACGGGAGGCAGCAGUAGGGAAUCUUCCGCAAUGGACGCAAGUCUGACGGAGCAACGCCGCGUGAGUGAAGAAGGUUUUCGGAUCGUAAAACUCUGUUGUUAGAGAAGAACAAGUGCUAGAGUAACUGUUAGCGCCUUGACGGUAUCUAACCAGAAAGCCACGGCUAACUACGUG
rnacentral:rRNA from 1 species